rnacentral:rRNA from 1 species
CAGUGGGGAAUAUUGGACAAAUGGGCGCAAGCCUGAUCCAGCAAUGCCGCGUGUGUGAAGAAGGCCCGAGGGUUGUAAAGCACUUUCAGAAGAGAAGAGGGCUUGGUUGUUAAUAGCAGCUAAGUCGGACGUUACCUUCAGAAGAAGCACCGGCUAACUCUGUGCCAGCAGCCGCGGUAAUACAGAGGGUGCAAGCGUUAAUCGGAAUUACUGGGCGUAAAGCGCGCGUAGGCGGAUGGAUAAGUUGGAUGUGAAAGCCCCGGGCUCAACCUGGGAUGGUCAUUCAAAACUGUUUAUCUAGAGUGUGGCAGAGGGUAGUGGAAUUCCUAGUGUAGCGGUGAAAUGCGUAGAUAUUAGGAGGAACAUCAGUGGCGAAGGCGACUGCCUGGACCAACACUGACGCUGAGGUGCGAAAGCGUGGGUAGCGAACAGGAUUAGAUACCCUGGUAGUCCACGCCGUAAACGAUGAGAACUAGACGUUGGUCUCUUUAAGGGAUUAGUGUCGCAGCUAACGCGAUAAGUCUCCGCCUG